AUACCUACCCAGCAGAAGAGAUCCGAGAUCACAAAGGUGGUUUUCCCAGGGUGAGCCUCACCCAUUGCAGUCCAAUGGGCUGGCCUCUGCAGUGACCUCAAAUGUGGGGAACUUGGCUGCAUAAUUUGUGAUCGUGGGGAACUGCGUUGGUGCUCUCCUCUG